GCCCAAACAGGGACCUGAAGUUCGGAGGAGUACGUGAGAGCCGCCGCGGGAUAACAGUGCGCGCACGAAAAGGUGAGGGGCGGUGAUCAUUUAACCUCUGAGAGUAUCAUGGGGGCGGGAAACAGCCGAGUCCUAUUUGCACAGAUACUUAAGCAUAUGCUGCAGACGCGCAGCGCAAAGCCGCCUGGACUGAAGCCGUCUAAACCUUAACCCAGUUAUGUAAACUGCUUGCCCUUGGAGUGUAUUCUUGAAAACUGAAGUACUUUGAUAAAGUAAGCUAAAAAGAAAGAAGACAAUUGAAUAUUAGAAACUCAAAUCUUUAUGUCAGUUUGUGUUUAUGUUUUUAUAUGAAAAGUGUUGCUAACUGUAGUCAUUAUGUCUUGGUCUGUAUGUGUGUCUAAGUGAGUAAAUAAAAAAUAUUUUCUACCUCCGAAGGCUAUUAAUAAAAUUGAUUUAAAGACAAGGCUUGUGAAAAUUGGGCAUUCUAAAACUUCCAGAAAAUCUAAUAAAAAAUAUUAUGCAUUAAUGCUAAUUUAAGCUUAACUGAAAUGGACAUGUCCUUAUAGUUAUUAGCUGCCAAAGUUUACUUUAAGUCAUUUAAGUUGAUGUUACCUGUUAAAUAUUUCAAGAAGAUGCUUAAAGAAAAGUUUGACUUUGUCUAAUGUUCGGUAAAAGUUUUAUAAGUAAUCUGGCAUGGUUGCUAAAAAUAAGUAAACAAGUGUAGCAAAUAAACUUUUUAAUAAUAAUACUGUAUUAAUGUAUAACAGUGUAUAUAUCUGCAAACAGCCUGAGAAUUUUUGUGGUAACCAAAAUUCUUAAAGUUUGCUAAGCUAUAUAGACAUAUUUUAUCUUAAUAUUAAAAAGACUAAGCUAAGUGUUGUUAACUAUGUAACCUUCUGCAUUUGUUUUUAAACUUUCUUAUUAUCAUUCUAGUUAAAUAAUAAGUGUUAUUUAAUAACUAUAAUUCUAUUUAGGCAAGUGCCUUAAAAACUUUUGACAACUUCCCAAGACCAAAUUUUAAAAAGUAUUUUUAUCUCUAAUUAACUCUGAUAUUUUCCAGAGGGCCCCUGAAACAUGUCAGAGGAAUUUCUUCUCAUCAAGGAAAAUAUUUGACUCAUUUGGCUUAUUUACCCGAUAUAUAUUUACCUGGAAAGCACUGUCAAAAGAAAUAAUGCUAAACUUUAUUAUUGAAUGUUUCAUGUUACAUAAAUAUCACUCUUCCCCCUAAAGCGCUUACUCUUGAUGCCCAAUUAUAUUUACCUGUUAGUACUACUAUAAUGACUGUGUAUGUAUUAAUUGUACUCAAGUACCCUCUUACUGUAAUUCUACAAUCAAUGUAAAAUGUUCUUCUGGAUAUAGACUUUCAAACAGUUAGGUAUUUUUGUGUAAUAACAAAACAUAUCAAGCCCUUUCUUCACACUGUGGUGUGGGACACAUUCUUCCUGCUCUACAUCCUGGAUAUAAGCGCAAGAGGCUUCUCCAAGCUCUGCCAUCUGAUUGUCAUGAAAACUUGAAACUUUGAGAUCCUGCCACUGUUGCAGUUGCAGCUGCAUUCCUCCUGCUGGUUCCUGGACUUGUCACUGGAAUGCAGAAAGAGAUAUCUAAGCUGGCCUGUGCAUAUAGCAAAACAACAAAUUUGACUGCCUCUGUAUUAUCUGAACUCAACCAAGAACUGGGAGAAGUGCGAGCUACAGUGCUUCAGAAUCGCUUUGCUAUAGACUAUCUGCUGUUAAAAGAACAUGUAGAAUAUGAACAAUUUCCAAAAAUGUGCUGUUUCAAUUUGUCUGAUUUUUCUCAAACUACCCAAAAUCAAUUAGAUGAUAUCCCUCAUAUUGUCAAUAUGUUUUCACAAAUGCCUAAGCUAUCUAACUAGUUUUCUUAAUUUCAUUAGAUAUAACUAGUAAUUGUAAGUCUGCCUUUGUUAUGUAUCUGUAUUCCUGUUCUGUUAAUGUGUGUAUGCAAUUUAACUAGUAGUUUGUUAAAACCUAUAUAUAUAUAUUCAAGUUAUGUCUGUCUUUUGACAUGUUCGAUCUCAGCCAUGUAAUGCAUAUUUCCCACAAAAUUGGGAUACCAUAUAAUCCACAAGGCCAAGGCAUUGUGGAACUUAUAUCCCCGGUCACCACAGAACCAUUUAAAUCAUAUCUUAUUUGCAGCCAAAACUGCAUCUGAUAUAUUAAAUCAGAUAAAAGACAUGUUCAAAGAACCCCUGAAUAGUCUCUGGCACGCUGUCACACCUCUCUUAACCCUAGGCAUUUUAUGUCUUUUAUUGCUGUUACUAGGUAGGGCCUUGUGUCCUUCGUAGCAUGUGGAAACUCAUCCAACAAGCCUUAAGAGACCUGCAUUAUUUGAAAUUGCAGACGGCUCCCCCACUUGUAAAUCAUAAGUUCUAAAGUCAAGUAUGGUAGCCAAUGACAGGUAAGAUAUGGUUGAAUUGUAAAUACCAACCUAAGACAGGGAGUGGUCAACAGAGGACUAUAGCCCCAUGACAGGUAAAGAUUUACUUCAACCAUACAACCUAAGACAGGCACAUACCUUGACCCAGUCUGAGUUAGGCUGGUUGUUUCAUUAAAAAAAAAAGGGGGAGGUGUUGGGGAUGGCCUUUGUCUUCUCACAUGUUUGUAGGCAGAAUGGGAAAGCACCUUCCCCCAUGUCUGAAUGCAGCACGGGAAAGCACAAGCUUGAGAACAACCGGUGCAGUCCUUGGAAGUUAUCUGCCCACAAAAACAUAUCUUGUCCUCAAAGACGAGCCAAGACUCCUCACUCUGAGAAUAGGGAGACGUUGAGGAUGUGUGAAAACACCACCCCUGCUUACCAGGCAGCUUCUAAGAAAAUCAACAAGGUUCUCUGGCCUUUCCCCCCC